UGUGUCUGUCAUUUGUGUAUGAGCGAGUGUGUGUUUGUAUUUGUGCAUGAACUCCCACCCACCUCUGCCUCUGGUUGGCUUGCCAUGAAAUUUUAUUCUUCCUUAGCCAGUCACUAACACGGUUGCUGUUGUGUUAGACCUGCC